rnacentral:rRNA from 1 species
GACGAACGCUGGCGGCGUGCUUAACACAUGCAAGUCGAACGCUGAAGCUCAGCUUUUGUUGGGUGGAUGAGUGGCGAACGGGUGAGUAACACGUGAGUAACCUGCCUCCUUCUUUGGGAUAACGCCCGGAAACGGGUGCUAAUACUGGAUAUUCACUGGUCUUCGCAUGGGGGUUGGUGGAAAGGGUUUUUCUGGUGGGGGAUGGGCUCGCGGCCUAUCAGCUUGAUGGUGGGGUGAUGGCCUACCAAGGCUUUGACGGGUAGCCGGCCUGAGAGGGUGACCGGUCACAUUGGGACUGAGAUACGGCCCAGACUCCUACGGGAGGCAGCAGUGGGGAAUAUUGCACAAUGGGCGCAAGCCUGAUGCAGCGACGCCGCGUGAGGGAUGGAGGCCUUCGGGUUGUGAACCUCUUUCGCUCAUGGUCAAGCCGCAACAAUGGUUGUGGUGAGGGUAGUGGGUAAAGAAGCGCCGGCUAACUACGUG